AGCAAAUGAAAAGGCUAAGGAACUUGAAAAAGCUAAGUCAAAAUCAAAAGAAGCUAUUUUAAAUCAUUUAUACACAUGUAAAUUGAUUUCCCUUUAUUUAAAAUCAGUUUUAUUAUUAUUUAAUUGAACUUAACGGAAAAUGUAACGGUGUUAAUAAAAAUAGCUUAUUCCAUCCAUUUUGAGGGACCUAAAUGCUCCUUUUGAAACUUGAGGGACUUAACUGCUCCUUUUGGCAAAGUUAAGGGGACCUCCAGACCUAUUUACUCGGAGAAAGUAGGACAAACUUGGGGAUUAUUCUUGUGUGGACCUGGUCCACACUAAUAUUAGUGUGGACCAAGCAACCACACGUGCAAAACCCCAAUCAGGCAUUAGAAAAGGUGUGCCUCCUUCUCCUCACUUCCUUUGUUGUUCGUUCUCUCUCUUGCCUCCCGUCACUCUCAAUCUCUCAAUGAAAUAUCUCAAAGAAAAUGGACGAUCAAAAUAAAAUAAUUAUAGGUAAAUCCAACGAGCAUGACGAAGGUAAUCGCAAAUUGCCAAAUUCAUAUAAGGAUUUUCAGAAAUUAGUCUUCGAUCUUGAACCCUAAUACCUCAUCCUUCGAUUUCCAGGUCUGCAGUUUUAGUACAUCUUUGUCCAGGGGAUCAAAACUAUCUAGCAGCAGCACAUGAGUUUGGAAUAAUGAGCCUGCUCCUUGAGAUGACACAGGGUGACACCGAGAGAGGGAAGAGAAAAGCCUAACAAUUACUGGGCAGAAUGAGUAGGUUACUUGAGUAGCAAACAGGCUCAGGCGCAAGCCGGGGCUCAAGGAGUUCACCUCCAAAUGCUGUUGAGGACUAACAAGCCUUUGAUUUCUUGAUUUGGUAAUCUUUUAAAAAUAUAUAUCAUUUAUUCCUUAUUCUAAUUAAAGGGAAGGAGGGUGAGAAAAUGGGAGGGCCUUUUAUUGAGCUACAUGAUGGUGGAAGCCUGGAAGAAGUCACCUCCUUUGGGUGAAAUUUAUUGUUAUUGGCAUUGAUAUGUUCAUAUUUUACAGUGUUUUUACCCCCGUCCCUUAGUACAUUUUGAUCUCAAAUGAGCUAUUCGGAGCGAUUUUUAGUACUAAUGUGCUCCUUUUAGUGUGUUUGUAGUUUCGGGUUCAUCAUUGUAGGAAUUAGCAUAUUUUUGUGCAUUUCCUACUCAUUUGAAUCAAUACAAGAGACUAUGUACUUUCGAGAGCACAAACAUUGA